UUCUUGUUUUCCCUCUCACUUUCUCUCACGCACACUUUACACACUCUAUUUCUUCUGAGAAUACAUACGCCUCGAUCUUCGCCUCUGAAUUGUAUGGAAUUAUAAUAUAAGAUCCGUUUGUUUUUUGUUGUUGUCGGGAGAGGAUGAAAUGCAAAUCAAAGCGAAAAUGUCGAUUUCUGAUCUUGGUUUUGGGUUCUGUCUUCCUGCCGGCAAUGGUGUUUUGUCGAUUUUCGAAGCUUGAAAGAGCCUUUCCGGUGGACCAAAGAUUUGAGUUGAUUGAGUUUAGAGCUCGUGACAAGGGUAAGGCACCGCUGAAUUUUGCAGGGUGGGAUCGUCGAUUUUCCUGUCGAGAGUACCUACAAUCCUUACGCCGUCGGAUGCGUUGUCAACACCAGUAAUGUUGCGUGUAUAUUUUCCUCAAUUAGUACAAGAGUUAUAAGCUGUGAGUUGAUUUGCUUUUCAGGAUCGUUUGCAAUUUGCCAUCACAUUCUAAAGUCUGAUCUCAUGGCUCCCAACUCCUUUGUUCUUGCAUCUUGGCCUCCAGUAAGUCCUGUGGUGAACGAAGGAUCAACAAAGUUGUUUAGAAACUUCAUCAUCUUAUAUGGAACCUCCAUGGCUUGUCCUCAUGCUGUGGGAGUGGCAGCACUUAUGAAAGGAGUCCAUCCUGAAUGAAGCCCAACAACCAUUUGAUCUGUCAUGAUGACAACAGCAGAUUGACUCAAUAACACUAUCAAACCCAUCACAGAACUCUUAGACGACAAGCAACCCACCAGUCCUCUAGCAAUGGGAGCGGGUCACCUAAAUCCUAACAAAGCGCUCGACCUUGGACUUGUAUAUGAUGCAAAUACAACGGACUACAUGAGGCUUCUCUGCACUCUGACUUACACUAAGAAGGAAUCAAGAAGAUAACAAGGUCAUUCUCUGAUUGGUUAGCCCGUGAAGCGCCAAAGUUUAGGGAUGCCUCUUCAACAUUCAAUCCAAGAGCUCUUCCUUACGAUCUUAGUGUAAUUGUGUAUAGUGAUAUGUGGGAUGUGCUAUCCCCGUCUUGUGUAGCCCCUUCGAAUAUUAUAAAAAAAA